AAAUGAGACAGGAAUUAGGAGGUUUCCUGUGAGGUCCCUAGAGCCGUGGAAGUCACAGACACCAAGGGAAUGACGAAACAUGAAAUGGUGCACCUGCUGUGGAAGACAGUCUGGUUGGUUCCUCGAAAAGCUAAGCACAGAUUCAUUCCUAAGAAAGCUGGAAACAACCCGCGUGUCCCUCACGCCAUGAACUGAUAAACCGUGGUCCAUCCACACAACGGACUAUGAUUCUGCCACAAAAUGGGAACAAGACUCCGACACCAGCUCCUACAUUGGUGAACCUUGAAACCAGAGCAGGCAGACAUGAAGGACCAGAACAGGCAAGUGCACAGGCAAGAUCGCUUGUGCCAAUGAAUCCCAAAGAGCUGUGUUUGGGAAAACCAGCAAGAGUGUGGCUGCCACAUGGGAUGUCUGUGGAAGAGAUGAAAACGGUUCCACCUCCAAAAUUCCACCGGUGGCGUGCAAGAUAACUCGGCAGUGUGCG